rnacentral:rRNA from 1 species
UCGAGAAUCAUUCGCAAUGGGCGAAAGCCUGACGGUGCGACGUCGCGUGGAGGAUGAAGGUCUUCGGAUUGUAAACUCCUGUCAUGAGGGAUAAAUGGCCAGGGCAUGAAUAAUGCCUUGGAAUGAUAGUACCUCAGGAGGAAGAGACGGCUAACUCUGUGCCAGCAGCCGCGGUAAUACAGAGGUCUCGAGCGUUGUUCGGAUUUACUGGGCGUAAAGGGAGCGUAGGCGGUUUGGUAUGUCGAAUGUGAAAGCCCACAACUCAACUGUGGAAAUGCAUUCGAAACUGCCGGACUAGAGUACUGGAGAGGAGAGCGGAAUUCUUGGUGUAGCGGUGAAAUGCGUAGAUAUCAAGAGGAACACCGGUGGCGAAGGCGGCUCUCUGGACAGAUACUGACGCUGAGGCUCUAAAGUUAGGGGAGCAAACA